GACGAACGCUGGCGGCGUGCUUAACACAUGCAAGUCGAGCGGAAAGGCCCUUCGGGGUCCUCGAGCGGCGAACGGGUGAGUAACACGUGAGUAACCUGCCCCAGACUUUGGGAUAACCCUCGGAAACGGGGGCUAAUACCGGAUACGACACAGCUUCGCAUGGGGUCUGUGUGGAAAGUUUUUCGGUUUGGGAUGGGCUCGCGGCCUAUCAGCUUGUUGGUGGGGUGAUGGCCUACCAAGGCGACGACGGGUAGCCGGCCUGAGAGGGCGACCGGCCACACUGGGACUGAGGCACGGCCCAGACUCCUACGGGAGGCAGCAGUGGGGAAUAUUGCACAAUGGGCGGAAGCCUGAUGCAGCGACGCCGCGUGAGGGAUGACGGCCUUCGGGUUGUAAACCUCUUUCAGCAGGGACGAAGCGUAAGUGACGGUACCUGCAGAAGAAGCGCCGGCCAACUACGUG
rnacentral:rRNA from 1 species